CCAAUAGCGUAUAUUAAAGUUGUUGCAGUUAAAAAGCUCGUAGUUGAAUUUUGGGCCUGGUCGGGCGGUCCGCCUUCUGGGUGAGUACUGUCAUUGUGCCGGGUCUCUUCUUCUGGUGAGCUAGUGUGCUCUUUACUGGGUGCGCUAGGGAAUCAGGACUAUUACCUUGAAAAAAUUAGAGUGUUUAAAGCGGGCAUUUGCUUGAAUACAUUAGCAUGGAAUAAUGAAAUAGGACGGACGGUUCUAUUUUGUUGGUUAUGGGACCACCGUAAUGAUUAAUAGGGAUAGUUGGGGGCAUUAGUAUUCAAUUGUCAGAGGUGAAAUUCUUGGAUUUAUUGAAGACUAACUACUGCGAAAGCAUUUGCCAAGGAUGUUUUCAUUAAUCAAGAACGAAAGUUAGGGGAUCGAAGACGAUCAGAUACCGUCGUAGUCUUAACCAUAAACUAUGCCGACUAGGAAUCGGGCGAUGUUAUUUUAAUGACUCGCUCGGCACCUUAUG
rnacentral:rRNA from 1 species